rnacentral:rRNA from 1 species
CUUUCCUGACGCUGAGGAGCGAAAGCGUGGGGAGCGAACAGGCUUAGAUACCCUGGUAGUCCACGCUGUAAACGGUGGGUACUAGGUGUGGGGUCCUUCCAGGGUUCCGUGCCGUAGCUAACGCUUUAAGUACCCCGCCUGGGGAGUACGGCCGCAAGGCUAAAACUCAAAGGAAUUGACGGGGCCCCGCACAAGCGGCGGAGCAUGCGGAUUAAUUCGAUGCAACGCGUAGAACCUUACCUGGGUUUGACAUGAUCGGGAGUGCUCAGAGAUGGGUGUGCCUCUUUUGGGGUCGGUUCACAGGUGGUGCAUGGCUGUCGUCAGCUCGUGUCGUGAGAUGUUGGGUUAAGUCCCGCAACGAGCGCAACCCUUGUUCACUGUUGCCAGCACGUUAUGGUGGGGACUCAGUGGAGACCGCCGGGGUCAACUCGGAGGAAGGUGGGGAUGACGUCAAGUCAUCAUGCCCCUUAUGUCCAGGGCUUCACGCAUGCUACAAUGGCUGGUACAGAGAGUGGCGAGCCUGUGAGGGUGAGCGAAUCUCGGAAAGCCGGUCUCAGUUCGGAUUGGGGUCUGCAACUCGACCUCAUGAAGUCGGAGUCGCUAGUAAUCGCAGAUCAGCACGCUGCGGGAAUACGUUCCCGGGGCUC